UGCAAGUCGAACGGGAUAACAUCUGUAGCAAUACAGGUGUUAUUUAGUGGCGAACGGGUGCGUAACACGUGGGGAAUCUGCCAAGAAGUGGGGGAUAGCUCGGCGAAAGCCGAAUUAAUACCGCAUAUGAUCAGGCCGCCUUGGCGGCCGACAUCAAAGCCGGGGCAACCUGGCGCUUUUUGAUGACCCCGCGGCCUAUCAGCUAGUUGGUGAGGUAACGGCUCACCAAGGCAUUGACGGGUAGCUGGUCUGAGAGGACGACCAGCCACACUGGAACUGAGACACGGUCCAGACACCUACGGGUGGCAGCAGUCGAGAAUUUUUCACAAUGGGGGCAACCCUGAUGGAGUGACGCCGCGUGGAGGAUGAAGGCUUUCGGGUUGUAAACUCCUGUCAUUUGGGAACAAGGUGCAUCGAUUAACUGUCGAUGCAUUGAUAGUACCAGAAGAGGAAGAGACGGCUAACUCUGUGCCAGCAGCCGCGGUAAUACAGAGGUCUCAAGCGUUGUUCGGAUUCAUUGGGCGUAAAGGGUGCGUAGGUGGCGGGGUAAGUCAGGUGUGAAAUUUCGGAGCUUAACUCCGAAACUGCAUUUGAUACUGCCUUGCUUGAGGACUGGAGAGGAGAUUGGAAUUCACGGUGUAGCAGUGAAAUGCGUAGAGAUCGUGAGGAAGACCAGUGGCGAAGGCGGACCUCUGGACAGUUCCUGACACUGAGGCACGAAGGCCAGGGGAGCAAACGGGAUUAGAUACCCCGGUAGUCCUGGCAGUAAACGGUGCACGUUUGGUGUGGGAGGAUUCGACCCCUUCUGCGCCGGAGCUAACGCGUUAAACGUGCCGCCUGGGGAGUACGGUCGCAAGAUUAAAACUCAAAGAAAUUGACGGGGCCCGCACAAGCGGUGGAGUAUGUGGCUUAAUUCG
rnacentral:rRNA from 1 species